GUUGGCGAAGUCACAAGGCCCUCUACUUUUCAUUAUAAAACCGAUAAACCAGAAAAAGAUGGAUUGUUUUGCGAAAGAAUCUUUGGACCCAUAAAAAGCGGGAUUUGCGCUUGUGGCAAUUCUCGAGCGAGCGGAGCUGAUGUAAAAUAUAUCUCUUCUCACCAUCCCCAUAGUGUAUGA
rnacentral:rRNA from 1 species